AUACUUCUGGCAGAGGAGAAGAGCUUAUAUUACGGGUCAACAGAAAUUCAGGGAGAGGAAGAAAUGGCUCACUGUCAUUGUCUCCAUGGUCUAUGAGGCCAGACUGGGAAAGAACCGCUCUCUAUUUUCCCAUCUCUUCAUCCAGUUGCUGAAGACUGAACUUGCUCUUGCUCCUUUCAGCCCCAGGAAGAACUGAGGAAAAAAAGCAAAAUUUCUCAUCUAUACCUUCAGAAGCAACAUGGCGUGGCAGAAAGGACAUCAGUAUUGGAAUCACACAGAAUGAGGUUCUGGGAUGAAGAGAGAAAAGAGAAAGAGACCUGAGAGAAUGUUCCAGAAGUACUUAAGAUGGAACUGAGACCAGACCAC
rnacentral:lncRNA from 1 species